rnacentral:lncRNA from 1 species
UGGUACCAGCUCCUCCUUGUACCUCUGGUAGAAUUCGGCUGUGAAUCCAUCUGGUCCUGGACUUUUUUUGGUUGGUAGUCUAUUAAUUAUUGCCUCAAUUUCAGAGCCUGUUAUUGGUCUAUUCAGAGAGUCAACUUCUUCCUGGUUUAGUCUUGGGAGGGUGUAUGUGUCGAGGAAUUUAUCCAUUUCUUCUAGAUUUUCCUGAGAGAUAGUUUGUUAUAAUUUCUGUUCUUUUACAUUUGCUGAGGAGAGCUUUACUUCCAAGUAUGUGGUCAGUUUUGGAAUAGGUGUGGUGUGGUGCUGAAAAAAAUGUAUAUUCUGUUGAUUUGGGGUGGAGAGUUCUGUAGAUGUCUAUUAGGUCCACUUGGUGCAGAGCUGAGUUCAAUUCCUGGGUAUCCUUGUUAACUUUGUCUCGUUGAUCUAUUUUCAAGUUCCUUUACUCUUUCCUCAGUUAUCCUCACUGCUAUUUAAGCCCAGUCAGUAUUUUUGCUUUAUUUCAGAAAUUAUAUUUUUUGGUUCUAAAUUUUUCAUUUUAAAAAUUGUUUCUAUGUCUCUGCUGAUAUCUCCUAUUGUUGCUAACGUAUUUUAUUUUACUUCAUUGUGGAUAAAGUGGUCUUGGUUCUCAGGGAUUUUGUGUCUGGCUAGAGGGGUUGUAGGAAGGUGGUACAAGAAUCCUUUUUUAACAUGUGACGAGAUGAUUAAUGAUAACAACCAUGAAAAUAUCAACAGUGACCACAAGAAGAAAACCAGUGGCUUCCAGUCAUGGUAAAACACUGUUGAAGGCACAAGACAAGCUUCACUGCCCACUUUGUCUAGGAUUUUCUGUGCCUAGACAGGAGAAAGACACUCUGAUAUCCUACUGCCUUUCAUUAGCCAAACUGCAAACAAGUUACCCAAAGACCCAGGUCUUGUCCGUAAGAUGUUUAUUGCUAUAUAUUUCUAACCUGGCCAGGUACAAAAAGGCUUUCCAGUAAUACAUGUAAUAAACCUCAAUGUAAUAAAUCCUCCUCUGGGGGAGCAGAAAUGAGAUGAGAUCAGCACACAAAAAGCAUAAUGGCCCUAGUAUAGAGUAAUAUGCAACUGUGUUUAAAGCAAAGCUAAAAUAAUUAUGGCUGCUGCUCUAAUUGAGGAGUGAUAUAUUAAAUAUAUCUUUCAGAGCAGUUCACAGAUCUAUAUGAAAAUCUUUGCAAUAGAACCAACAGAUAAAUGUUCAGUGACAAAAAUGUAUGCAAGUUUAGUCUAUGCAUUUUAUGAAUAUUACAUAAAAUAUUUGACUUUUAGAAACCUAAUCUUGAUUUAAAAACUAGUUAAAAUUUGUAACUUUUCUGAAAACAUAUUACACAACACUCUUAUGAAACUAAUAGAAUAUCCCAUAGCACGUGAUCAAAACAGAAACACACACCACCACCUUGUACCAAAUCCAGAAUAAAAAUAUAAUCUCUUCUAUUUCUUCCCUUUAAAAAAAAUCUACAUGCAAAGAUGACAGAGACAGGAGAAUGAGUCAGUGUGCUCAGCCUAAGGCAAUGAUGCUUGUUUUGCAAUGCCCAAGUCAUUUCUAGAAUAUGCUCUUUCAUGGUACACUGAUAUA